UGGGGAAUAUUGCACAAUGGGCGCAAGCCUGAUGCAGCCAUGCCGCGUGUAUGAAGAAGGCCUUCGGGUUGUAAAGUACUUUCAGCGAGGAGGAAGGCGUUGUGGUUAAUAACCGCAACGAUUGACGUUACUCGCAGAAGAAGCACCGGCUAACUCCGUGCCAGCAGCCGCGGUAAUACGGAGGGUGCAAGCGUUCAUCGGAAUUACUGGGCGUAAAGCGCACGCAGGCGGUCUGUCAAGUCGGAUGUGAAAUCCCCGGGCUCAACCUGGGAACUGCAUCCGAAACUGGCAGGCUAGAGUCUUGUAGAGGGGGGUAGAAUUCCAGGUGUAGCGGUGAAAUGCGUAGAGAUCUGGAGGAAUACCGGUGGCGAAGGCGGCCCCCUGGACAAAGACUGACGCUCAGGUGCGAAAGCGUGGGGAGCAAACA
rnacentral:rRNA from 1 species